UACGGAGGGUGCAAGCGUUGUUCGGAAUCAUUGGGCGUAAAGGGCGCGCAGGCGGCCUGCUAAGUCUGGUGUGAAAGCCCCGGGCUCAACCCGGGAAGGGCAUCGGAAACUGGCAGGCUUGAGUACGGGAGAGGGUAGUGGAAUUCCGCAUGUAGGGGUGAAAUCCGUAGAUAUGCGGAGGAACACCGGUGGCGAAGGCGGCUACCUGGACCGAUACUGACGCUGAGGCGCGAAAGCGUGGGGAGCAAACAGG
rnacentral:rRNA from 1 species